CUCAGAACCUCAUAGCGAAGGACGGGCAGGGCUCCUCGAGCUCCUUCGUGGAGCUCCACUUCGCCGACCAAAAGUUCCGCACCUCGACGAAGACGGACCUCAACCCCGUGUGGAACGAACGCUUCUACUUCGACGUGCCGGACCCCGACCUGCUCCCUCAUUAUGCGCUAGAAGCGUUCGUCUACAGCGCCUCCGGCGGCAGCCUUUCCGCCAAGUCCUUCCUCGGAAAGGUGCGCCUCGUCGGAACCUCCUUCGUCCCCUACUCUGACGCGGUGGUCUUGCAGUGCCCUCUCGAGAAGCGCGGCAUCUUCUCCCGCGUCAGAGGGGAGCUUGGCCUCAAGGUCUACGUCACCGACGACCCCUCGGUCCGGCCGUCCAACCCUCUGCCGGCGAUCGACCCCUCCCUCAACAACCCUCCGCCGUCUCCGAUCUUCCGAGCUCAGGCGCCGCCUGCAAGCCCGCGCGCGGGCAUGUCCCCGGAGAAGAAGGCGUCCAGGUCGAGGCAGUCGUUCCAUCACCUCCCCAAGGGGAAGCGCUCGCCGGCGACGGCGAAGUCGACGGCGUAUGAGAUGAGGGCGGACUCAUCCGCGGCGGCGAGGGUCUUUGCCGCGGUACCUUCGUCGUCGUCGGCGGCGGCGGAGGCGAGGGUCUUUGCCGCGGUACCUUCGUCGUCGUCGGCGGCGAAGCAGGGUUUCAAAGCGGCGCCGAAGUUUCAAAGCGGCCAUGGCGGGCAGCCCUUUAAACCGCGCAUGGGGUCCCCCGAUAGGAGGGUGGGUAGUGGCUACGACCUCGUGGACCAAAUGGAGUACCUCU
rnacentral:lncRNA from 1 species